UCAAAUGUGACAUGUUUAAAUUAAACAUUUGAAUGACAUGUCCAAAAAAAGAGAAACACACACAUGAGAUCAUUUCCAAAGAUUAAAAGAAAUAACAAAACAACGAAUGCCCCGUUUCACUUCGCAAAAGCCUAUAAAACUGGCACCCCACUGAGAAGGCUACUAAAACAUGGCAUCUGUUUUAAAAAAAACGUGGACUAUCAGGCCAACCACAACAACGAGUUUCUCCAUUUUGUUGGCAGCCGUCAACGUUCAGAGCUGGAGUUUUGGUCUUACGACAUUCAACGUUUGGUCUGCCUUCAAGGGACAGCUCUUGAAAACCAAGAAAACAAGGCAGCCUGCUUUCUGAAGCACCGCACCGAGCCGCGGCCCCUGCAACAGAGAAUUCCCAGCCAACCAAGUACUCUCACUCUCCCUCACAUCUGAGUCUUGCUUUUCCGACUAUAUUCCGCUGUGUACCAGGCUUAGUACAAGUCCUCAGGGUGAGGGGCUGAGCCGCAGAACCAUUCUGCUAUUAAAUAUAUAGAGGUACUUUAAAAAACCA